UUCUGAGGGUCGUGCUUUUCAUUAUUGCGUUAUAGCUAUUCGACACAGUUCUUGGGAAACAGAACGAAAACAAUAACAAUGAUUGCCUCUAAAGUGUUAAAGAGAGAGAACAAUAUUUGAAAUGUUUAAAACUAUAUAGUGCAGUAACUGGAGUUUUUUUGUCGCACGAAUAUCGAAAAUGAGAGACACGUCAUCUGUCAAUUUCACCCAACAAGUUUUUAUAUGACUAACUCUGUCGUUAGGCAAAGUCGCUACGCUAAAAUAAGUCAUUAAGAAAGCAAAUAACUGAAAAUAUUACGUUAGUAAUACUAUAACAUUGGUAUUUAAGUAAUGCAAUUCGAGCAGACAUUUUUCAAAUUGCAUGACUGUAGAACAGCUGAGAACAAUAAAGCAAAUACUAUAUGUAUAUUUGUGUGUGUGUGUGUGUGU